rnacentral:rRNA from 1 species
UACGGAGGGGGCGAGCGUUAUUCGGAAUUAUUGGGCGUAAAGGGCGCGUAGGCGGCCGUCUAAGUCAAAGGUGAAAUCCCUCGGCUCAACUGAGGAACUGCCUUUGAAACUGGAUGCUUGAGGCCGGGAGGGGGUAGCGGAAUUCCCGGUGUAGAGGUGAAAUUCGUAGAUAUCGGGAGGAACACCUGUGGCGAAGGCGGCCGGCUGGGGGUGCCCUGACGCUGAGGCGGCGAAAGCGUGGGGAGCGAACCGG